AGUUUCAAAUUCGUUGAUACAGUCAUGAGGCAAUUAUUAUUUUUAAUUUUAGUCCUUACAUUAACAGUAAUAGUAGAAAAUGUUCCAGUUAAUAAAAAUACGCCUGAACCAGUGGACAGUGACUUUGAAACGAAUACAGCUUAUGUGACAAGUGAAAGUGCAAACGAGAGUGAACCUUCUCAUAAUGUGAAUAAACGUGAAAAUUUCGAAGGAGGCUGCAUUUCAAAAACGCAGAGGUUUAACGGUUUCUGUGCUAUGUUAUUAGGAUGAUGAGGUUAUAGACUUAAUGAACUAUAUUUUGAGCUUAGUAUUGCCCAAGUGAUAGAUAAACGUGUCUUAGGACUGAAAUGGUCGGUACUAAAAAUAUUGUAGCACAGUACAGUGUACAGUGGGAGGUUGCUAUGGUGAUAUAGAAGAACGAACCUUUCUUCGGCAGUCACAUCUUGCAGCUUACAGAAGAUGAUGAUAUCGUACAAAUAAAGGAUAACUGCCGGAAUCUACAGUAUGAUGAGUAGACCGUACAGCUAAUACACCAAUCAGGAAA